rnacentral:misc_RNA from 1 species
AAGUCGUAACAAGGUUUCCGUAGGUGAACCUGCGGAAGGAUCAUUAAAAAAGAUUAAGAAUAUCAUGUUCUUAAAACACCAUCUGUGUAAUUGUACAUGUUGCUUCCGUGGGCAGCUGGCUAUGUCCCUGCAUCUCUUCCUUUAUGGAGGACCCACGGGAGGUAUUUAUAAACUAUGCCAUUUCGUGAUUUCGGUCUGACAUUGCUUGAUAAAUGUUAAAACUUUCAACAACGGAUCUCUUGGUUCUC